CCGAUUUCGAGCCAUUGCACUCUAGCAAAACUCUGUCUCAAAAAAAAAAAAAAAAAACCACCAUGAAGUAAAUUAUGGUCGAAACAUGUUUAGUUCUUAACUGCAGUUAUCUUGUAUUUAAGGUGUAUGUUCAUAACAAGUUAUAUUUCUAUUGUCAUAAAGAAUGUUCUAUUAAAUGCUUACUGGCUCAGAAUCCUAUUACUUUUUGCCAGUUAGAUUAUGGCCGUUUCUCUUUUAGUCUAAAAUAAACUCAGCUGAAAAGUAACAAUAAACACUUUAUGUAUACAGAUUAACAACAAAAAAUGGCAGGUAACCUGCUUGGUGGUAGAUACUGUAAUAAGCCAAACAAGUAACUUUUGUGUAAUACACUGAAGUAGGUGCUUUGAAGAAUUCAUAAAAGUUUAUGACUCUAAUUCAUGUGAGAGAUAAAAUGCAUAUACAUCAGAAGAUUACACAAUGAGUAUAUGGCUAACGACUAAUGAAUGAUAUAGUAAGUGUUAAAAGAGAUAAGAUGGGGCAGAGGUCACUACUGAUUGUAAAAAGUUUCAUGAAUGAAGCGAGACUUUUAUCUGGGUCUAGGAAAAUAAAGUCAUUACAAUCAUUACAUCUUAGUACAAGCAAGCAAUCAAAUAAUAUGUCUCUCAUGUGAACAUUUUAAGCAAAUAACUGGAGAAAGUACUUCAGCAAAAUCAGGGAGCAAAAUAAUGUUGGCUCAAAAUGAGGUCGAAAAGUUGCAGGGCUCGGAUCGUGUUGCUAAAGGCAUAAAUGUGGGAGUCCUUAAGGUGUAGCUAAUAGUUAACGUCCAGAGAAGGUAGUGUAUAUUCCAUAGCCUCAUGCAAAGGAAUUCCAACAACGAAGAGGAACCAGUUAAGGAGACCGAAAAGGUGGGGCCUGUGUGGAAAGGCAUAGCAACGAAUUUAAAACUUCCCCAGUAAUACUCUAAAACUGCCCCACAGCUUUUUUAAUUUUGAAAAUUCAAACCACUCAAUUCAGCUCGCAGAUUUUUGUGAGAAACAACGAGAUAACUGCAGCUCAGAAAAAAUUAUUAACAACUAUCCAGAAAGUUACUGCUUUAUCCCCCACUGUAAACUAUAGCACCACAGCCCGGGAUCCUUGUUCGACUCCUAGCCAAGUGGUUCCCGCUGCGUUUCUGUUGGGUUAUCCCAAACCUGUGAUAGGAUACUAGCGGCCUCCCUGCCUCCGGUCGAAUAAACACUACAACGUCUGACACUCGGUGCUGAAAGGAAAUCGGGCGCGGUGUCUUGCCCACAGCUUGGGGAGCAGCCCCGGGCGCAGUAACUGUCACAGGCGCCGAGAUGCGGUUCCGGCGCUUAGGGCGCCGCUGAGCUCAGAGCCCGGGAGUCAUGGCUGCGGGCGGUGCCGCCCCAGGUAAGUCAGCCCAGGAGCAGGGCCCGGGCCUGGCGGACACUCUCGGAAAAAUUGGGGCGAGAGCAAACAAGAAGAGCGAGAGCAAGAGGCCUAGGCAGCCGGAAGCGGCAGCAAGACUCAAGACGCCAAGGGCGCCGUCUUCCUGGGGCCCGGGCACCGCCUCUCCACGCCCCUCGUCCGGCUGCGGCUGCGACUGCUUCCGAGGUCAUGUUCCCGGGACGCGCGCGUCUUCAGGGUGGAAGCCUGGCGCACGUCCGGAGGUGCCGAGGGCCCAACCAGCCCAAACUCUGGGGGAAAUGACUCCCCUCUGCCCUCGCCCCGCGCUCUACCAAUUCCUUCCGUCUCUGCUUCGAGCGAUGCAAAACGCGCGAGGCGCACGGCAGAGGGCCGAGGCCGCGGUACUCUCCGGGCCAGGCCCGUCCCUCGGCCGCGCCGCGCAGCACAGGACUCCCCGUCCGCUGUCCAGCGCUGGCCGCCUGAGCCGAGGCUGCCGCGGAGCCAGUACAGUCGGGGCCGCGGGCUGGAAGGGCGAGCUUCCUAAGGCGGGGGGAUGCCCGGCGCCCCGGCCGGAGACACCCGCCAUUUCACCCAGUAAGCGGGCCCGGCCUGCGGAGGAGGGCGGCAUGCAGCUCCGCUUUGCCCGGCUCUCCGAGCACGCCACGGCCCCCACCCGGGGCUCCGCGCGCGCCGCGGGCUACGACCUGUACAGUGCCUAUGAUUACACAAUACCACCUAUGGAGAAAGCUGUUGUGAAGACGGACAUUCAGAUAGCGCUCCCUUCUGGGUGUUAUGGAAGAGUGGCUCCACGGUCAGGCUUGGCUGCAAAACACUUUAUUGAUGUAGGAGCUGGUGUCAUAGAUGAAGAUUAUAGAGGAAAUGUUGGUGUUGUACUGUUUAAUUUUGGCAAAGAAAAGUUUGAAGUCAAAAAAGGUGAUCGAAUUGCACAGCUCAUUUGCGAACGGAUUUUUUAUCCAGAAAUAGAAGAAGUUCAAGCCUUGGAUGACACCGAAAGGGGUUCAGGAGGUUUUGGUUCCACUGGAAAGAAUUAAAAUUUAUGCCAAGAACAGAAAAUGAGAAGUCAUACCUUUUUCUUGAAAAAAAAAAAAAAAAAAAAAAAAAAAAAGUUUUUGCUUAAAGUGUUAAUGGUGUUUUGCACUUCUGUAAACUUACUAGCUUUACCUUCUAAAAGUACUGCAUUUUUUAUUUUUUUUAUGAUCAAGGAAAAGAUCAUAAAAAAAAAAACACAAAGUUUUUCUUGGUGUUUGGAUCAAAAAGAAACUUUGUUUUUCUGCAAUUGAUGGUUGUAUGUAAAUCUGCUUUGUGGUGACCUGAUAUAAACAGUGUCUUCUUAAAAUCAAAUGUACAUCAAUUACAGAUUCAAAAAAAAAAAGCCUGUAUUUAACUCAAA